rnacentral:rRNA from 1 species
GCUUGACNUAUACGAGAACGGGCGAGAGANCGUCAACUCUUUGGACACUCGUAAACAGGUGGUGCAUGGUUGUCGUCAGCUCGUGUCGUGAGAUGUUCGGUUAAGUCCGGCAACGAGCGCAACCCUCGUCCUAUGUUGCCAGCACGUAAUGGUGGGAACUCAUGGGAUACUGCCGUGGUCAACACGGAGGAAGGUGGGGAUGACGUCAAAUCAUCAUGCCCCUUAUGUCUUGGGCUUCACNCAUGCUACAAUGGCCGAUACAAAGGGNUGCGAUACCGCGAGGNGGAGCGAAUCCCAAAAAGUCGGUCUCAGUUCGGAUUGGGGNNUGCAACUCNACCCCNUNA